GGCACACAGGCGCGGGGGCGUGCGCGCGAGUGGCCGGCGGCGUGCACGCAGCAGGCGAGUGCAAGGAGUGCGUGGGCACGGGGGCCUGUGGCCUGCGGCUGCAGGGGAGCUGCUGAACAGGGGAGCUACUGCACGUGGGCGUGUGGGGCGAGCGUGAGGCUCCUCUGGCCUGCGAGCUGGUGGAGCUGAAGGAGUACUGAUGUUGUGCUACUGAUUUUUGGAAAGGAAGUUAUUUGUGUGUGGUUGUGUCAAAUCUGUUGUGGUGAAGAUGAGUCCAGAGGAGAUCGAAGCAAAGAGGAAGGAAGAAGAGGCUGCGAUGAAGGCAGCAACUGCUAGCGAAUAAUCAGGAGGAAUUACAAAGACUGAGGUAAUGAGUGAGAUGCGGAGUCUGGAGCUCAUGGGGCCAGGCCUGAUGGGUGCUAAGGCCAAUACAGGUGCCACUGAGUUGAAGUUGGAGCUUAUGCCAAAUGAUUUGAAGCUAGAGGGCAGCAAGAAUUAUUUGAGCUGGUCCAGAAGAGUGCGUCUGAUUCUAGGAGGCAAGGGGGUGGAACACUAUUUAGAGGAGAUCUGUGUUGAGCCGGCUGAUAAGCUUGGCACUGAGUGGAUAGUGUGGCAUGCAACAAACUCGGUGAUAGUGGCAUGGUUGUUGCCAUCCAUGUCUCCCAUUGUUAUCAAGAGGGUGGAAAUCAUGCGCACUGCAUCGCAAAUAUGGAAGACUUUGAGUAACAUAUACUCUAGAAGGGCGCAUGUGAUGAUGAUGAUGGAAAUUCAGGGCAAGGCAGACGCAGUGAAACAGGCGGGGAGACCAGUGGAGCAGUAUGCUAGUGAGCUUCAGUACUUGUGCGAAGAGCACUAUGCUCCUCUCCAAAUGUAUGAUCCAUGAGAUGCUCAGGCUGUCCAUAAGUGGGUAGAGAAUAGGAGAGUGACCCACUUCCUGAAGAAUCUAGACCCUGAAUUUGAAAGUAGGAGAGCUGCCUUUUGUCACCAGGAGAGUCUUCCUACCAUGGAUGAGGAUGUUUCAGCAAUGAUUGAUGAAGAGUGUAGGCUUCGAGUGAUGGGGAGUGGCAAUUCUAUGAAGCCGGCCUAUGUUGCAAUUAAAGACAGGAGUGCUAUAAAUAUGGGGAAAGGGGACAUAUGAGUUACAAUUGUCCCAAUCCAAGAGGUAGUGGUGGUCGAAGUGGAACUCGGGGAGGUCGGGGAGUUCUCGUGCGGGCUAUGUAGGAGGUCGUGGUAAUCGUGGUGGAGGCCGUGGUAAAGGCCGUGGUGGCCCAAGGGCCAAUGUGGCGGCUAGUAAGGAUACUCAGUCCGUCACUCUGACAGGAGAACAAGUCAAACAAUGGGAAGAAUGGAAAAAAGGCAAAGCUCCUGAGAGCUCCACCAGUACCUCACAUGAUCCUGUGACUUCGACCUCCAACAGCUUUGGUAACUUUGCCAACUACGCCCGCAUGGGCGAAGGAGAGGAGAACUGGGAGAAGGAUUAGGACUGGAGUCAGGCGUAAUGGGUUGUGGUUCAUCAGUCAUGAGGAGUCAGCAUUGACAGCAGCUGCUGAAGGAGAUGUGAAAAAAAUUCUUCUACUUCAUUGUUGGUUAGGACAUGUAUCUUUUGAAAGUUUAAGUUGUGCCCUGCUAUGUUUAAGGGAUUGGACAAAAGUAGACUUGUAUGUGAUGCAUGUGAGCUUGGAAAACAUACUAGAUCUAUCUAUACUAGUAUUGGCCUUCGCAGUUGUGAACCAUUUAUUCUCAUACACUCAAAUGUUUGGGGCCCCUGUUCAGUUA